GAUGAACGCUGACAGCAUGCUUAACACAUGCAAGUCGAUGGGGAAGUGGUGCUUGCACCAUGGCAACCAUGGCGGACGGGUGAGUAACGCGUAAGGGACUUACCUGCAGGACUGGGAUAACAGGGGGAAACUCCUGACAAGACCGGAUAAUGUCAUGGAGCUGCAUGGCUUUAUGAUGAAAGGAGACGCCUGCGGAGAGCCUUGCGUCCUAUUAGCUAGUUGGUGAGGUAAUGGCUCACCAAGGCGAAGAUAGGUAGCCGGCCUGAGAGGGUGGACGGCCACAAGGGGACUGAGAUACGGCCCUGACUCCUACGGGAGGCAGCAGUGGGGAAUAUUGGACAAUGGGGGCAACCCUGAUCCAGCAAUUCUGUGUGCACGAAGAAGGUUUUCGGAUUGUAAAGUGCUUUCAGCAGGGAAGAAGUAAGUGACGGUACCUGCAGAAGAAGCGACGGCUAAAUACGUG
rnacentral:rRNA from 1 species